rnacentral:rRNA from 1 species
GAACGCUGGCGGCGUGCUUAACACAUGCAAGUCGAACGGAAAGGCCCUGCUUUUGUGGGGUGCUCGAGUGGCGAACGGGUGAGUAACACGUGAGUAACCUGCCCUUGACUUUGGGAUAACUUCAGGAAACUGGGGCUAAUACCGGAUAGGAGCUCCUGCUGCAUGGUGGGGGUUGGAAAGUUUCGGCGGUUGGGGAUGGACUCGCGGCUUAUCAGCUUGUUGGUGGGGUAGUGGCUUACCAAGGCUUUGACGGGUAGCCGGCCUGAGAGGGUGACCGGCCACAUUGGGACUGAGAUACGGCCCAGACUCCUACGGGAGGCAGCAGUGGGGAAUAUUGCACAAUGGGCGGAAGCCUGAUGCAGCAACGCCGCGUGCGGGAUGACGGCCUUCGGGUUGUAAACCGCUUUCGCCUGUGACGAAGCGUGAGUGACGGUAAUGGGUAAAGAAGCACCGGCUAACUACGUGCCAGCAGCCGCGGUGAUACGUAGGGUGCGAGCGUUGUCCGGAUUUAUUGGGCGUAAAGGGCUCGUAGGUGGUUGAUCGCGUCGGAAGUGUAAUCUUGGGGCUUAACCCUGAGCGUGCUUUCGAUACGGGUUGACUUGAGGAAGGUAGGGGAGAAUGGAAUUCCUGGUGGAGCGGUGGAAUGCGCAGAUAUCAGGAGGAACACCAGUGGCGAAGGCGGUUCUCUGGGCCUUUCCUGACGCUGAGGAGCGAAAGCGUGGGGAGCGAACAGGCUUAGAUACCCUGGUAGUCCACGCUGUAAACGGUGGGUACUAGGUGUGGGGUCCAUUCCACGGGUUCCGUGCCGUAGCUAACGCUUUAAGUACCCCGCCUGGGGAGUACGGCCGCAAGGCUAAAACUCAAAGGAAUUGACGGGGCCCCGCACAAGCGGCGGAGCAUGCGGAUUAAUUCGAUGCAACGCGUAGAACCUUACCUGGGUUUGACAUGGAUCGGGAGUGCUCAGAGAUGGGUGUGCCUCUUUUGGGGUCGGUUCACAGGUGGUGCAUGGCUGUCGUCAGCUCGUGUCGUGAGAUGUUGGGUUAAGUCCCGCAACGAGCGCAACCCUUGUUCACUGUUGCCAGCACGUUAUGGUGGGGACUCAGUGGAGACCGCCGGGGUCAACUCGGAGGAAGGUGGGGAUGACGUCAAGUCAUCAUGCCCCUUAUGUCCAGGGCUUCACGCAUGCUACAAUGGCUGGUACAGAGAGUGGCGAGCCUGUGAGGGUGAGCGAAUCUCGGAAAGCCGGUCUCAGUUCGGAUUGGGGUCUGCAACUCGACCUCAUGAAGUCGGAGUCGCUAGUAAUCGCAGAUCAGCAACGCUGCGGUGAAUACGUUCCCGGGGCUUGUACACACCGCCCGUCAAGUCAUGAAAGCUGGUAACACCCGAAGCCGGUGGCCUAACCGUUGUGGGGGAGCCGUCGAAGGUGGGACUGGUGAUUAGG